CUCGUAGGCGGCCAACUAAGUCGGAUGUGAAAUCCCCAGGCUCAACUUGGGAACUGCAUCCGAUACUGGAUGGCUUGAAUUCGGGAGAGGGAUGCAGAAUUCCAGGUGUAGCGGUGAAAUGCGUAGAUAUCUGGAGGAAUACCGGUGGCGAAGGCGGCAUCCUGGACCGACAUUGACGCUGAGGAGCGAAAGCUAGGGGAGCAAACG
rnacentral:rRNA from 1 species